ACCUUCGGGUCGAGUGGCGCACGGGUGAGUAACGCGUGGGAAUCUGCCCUGUGGUACGGAAUAACAUCGGGAAACUGGUGCUAAUACCGUAUAUCCCCUGAGGGGGAAAGAUUUAUCGCCAUGGGAGGAGCCCGCGUAGGAUUAGCUAGUUGGUGAGGUAACGGCUCACCAAGGCGACGAUCCUUAGCUGGUCUGAGAGGAUGAUCAGCCACACUGGGACUGAGAUACGGCCCAGACUCCUACGGGAGGCAGCAGUGGGGAAUAUUGGACAAUGGGGGAAACCCUGAUCCAGCCAUGCCGCGUGUGUGAUGAAGGCCUUCGGGUUGUAAAGCACUUUCGCACGUGACGAUGAUGACGGUAACGUGAGAAGAAGCCCCGGCUAACUUCGUGCCAGCAGCCGCGGUAAUACGAAGGGGGCAAGCGUUGUUCGGAAUUACUGGGCGUAAAGGGCGCGUAGGCGGUGCACUAAGUCAGGCGUGAAAGCCCUGGGCUCAACCCGGGAAUUGCGCUUGAUACUGGUGCGCUUGAAUCCAGGAGAGGUUGGUGGAAUUCCCAGUGUAGAGGUGAAAUUCGUAGAGAUUGGGAAGAACACCGGUGGCGAAGGCGGCCAACUGGACUGGUAUUGACGCUGAGGCGCGAAAGCGUGGGGAGCAAACAGGAUUAGAUACCCUGGUAGUCCACGCUGUAAACGAUGUGUGCUAGCCGUUGGGGUUCUUAGAACCUCGGUGGCGUCGCUAACGCUUUAAGCACACCGCCUGGGGAGUACGGUCGCAAGAUUAAAACUC
rnacentral:rRNA from 1 species